AGAUGAAAUUUUAGCUAAGAGCAAAACAUAUUUCGAAGGUGUGAUCGAAUUUAGUCAAAGCAAAGAUGGAAUCGACUCCAAGCAUGGAAUAUUAAAAUCGGAAAAUAAUUCUGCAGUGUUUAAUAGCUUACAACAAAGACUCAAAGAGAAGGGCAAAUUUGUGUAUAAGAAAGUUGACCCUCUUUCGGAAUUUGAGAAUUGCGUGAGGCAUAUACUUUCCUUGUAUAUAUCGAAUCCCAACGUUCCUAGAAGCGAAAUUUUGUAUGAAGCCAAGCAGCUUUUUAAAACUGCUC